CCUAGGGUCGCAGCAGUGAGGAAUUUUGCGCAAUGGGGGAAACCCUGACGCAGCAACGCCGCGUGAGCGAAGAAGGCCUUCGGGUCGUAAAGCUCUGUCAAGUGGGAAAAAAAUCUUUUGAUCAAUAGUCAAAAGACUUGAUGGUACCACUGGAGGAAGCACCGGCUAACUCCGUGCCAGCAGCCGCGGUAAUACGGAGGGUGCAAGCGUUGUUCGGAUUUACUGGGCGUAAAGAGCGUGUAGGCGGUUUAGCAAGUCAGAUGUGAAAGCCCUGGGCUCAACCCGGGAAGUACAUUUGAAACUGCUUCACUAGAGUAUGGGAGAGGAGAUUGGAAUUCCUGGUGUAGAGGUGAAAUUCGUAGAUAUCAGGAGGAACACCCGUGGCGAAGGCGAUUCUCUGGACCAAUACUGACGCUGAGACGCGAAAGCGUGGGGAGCAAACAGGAUUAGAUACCCUAGUAGUC
rnacentral:rRNA from 1 species